rnacentral:rRNA from 1 species
AGUAGUUUGAUCAUGGCUCAGAAUGAACGCUGGCGGCGUGCCUAACACAUGCAAGUCGAGCGAGAAAGUUCCUUCGGGAAUGAUAAGUGUAGAGUACACGAGCGGCGGACGGGUGAGUAACACGUGGGAAUCUACCCCAAACUGAGGGAUAAGCAUCGGAAACGGUGUCUAAUACCGCAUAUGGUCUUCGGAUUAAAGCUUCGGCGGUUUGGGAAGAGCCCGCGUAAGAUUAGCUAGUUGGUGAGGUAAUGGCCCACCAAGGCGACGAUCUUUAGCUGGUUUGAGAGGAUGAUCAGCCACACUGGAACUGAGACACGGUCCAGACUCCUACGGGAGGCAGCAGUUAGGAAUUUUCCACAAUGGGGCAACCCUGAUGGAGCAACGCCGCGUGCAGGAUGAAGGUUUUCGGAUUGUAAACUGCUUUUGUACGUGAAGAAUAUGACGGUAGCGUACGAAUAAGGAUCGGCUAACUCCGUG